GACGAACGCUGGCGGCGUGCUUAACACAUGCAAGUCGAACGGAAAGGCCCUGCUUUUGUGGGGUGCUCGAGUGGCGAACGGGUGAGUAACACGUGAGUAACCUGCCCUUGACUUUGGGAUAACUUCAGGAAACUGGGGCUAAUACCGGAUAGGAGCUCCUGCUGCAUGGUGGGGGUUGGAAAGUUUCGGCGGUUGGGGAUGGACUCGCGGCUUAUCAGCUUGUUGGUGGGGUAGUGGCUUACCAAGGCAUUGACGGGUAGCCGGCCUGAGAGGGUGACCGGCCACAUUGGGACUGAGAUACGGCCCAGACUCCUACGGGGGACAGCAGGGGGGAAUAUUGCACACUGGGCGGAAGCCUGAUGCAGCAACGCCGCGUGCGGGAUGACGGCCUUCGGGUUGUAAACCGCUUUCGCCUGUGACGAAGCGUGAGUGACGGUAAUAGGUGAAGAAGCACCGGCUAACUACGUG
rnacentral:rRNA from 1 species